AUUGAACGCUGGCGGCAGGCCUAACACAUGCAAGUCGAGCGGAUGAAGGGAGCUUGCUCCUGGAUUCAGCGUCGGACGGGUGAGUAAUGCCUAGGAAUCUGCCUGGUAGUGGGGGAUAACGUCCGGAAACGGGCGCUAAUACCGCAUACGCCCUGAGGGAGAAAGUGGGGGAUCUUCGGACCUCACGCUAUCAGAUGAGCCUAGGUCGGAUUAGCUAGUUGGUGGGGUAAAGGCCUACCAAGGCGACGAUCCGUAACUGGUCUGAGAGGAUGAUCAGUCACACUGGAACUGAGACACGGUCCAGACUCCUACGGGAGGCAGCAGUGGGGAAUAUUGGGCAGUGGGCGAAAGCCUGAUCCAGCCAUGCCGCGUGUGUGGAGAAGGUCUUCGGAUUGUAAAGCACUUUAAGUUGGGAGGAAGGGCAGUAAGUUAAUACCUUGCUGUUUCGACGUUACCAACAGAAGAAGCACCGGCUAACUUCGUG
rnacentral:rRNA from 1 species